GUGCACCAGUCGAGAAUUUUUCUCAAUGGGGGCAACCCUGAAGGAGCGACGCCGCGUGGAGGAUGAAGGCUUUCGGGUCGUAAACUCCUGUCAUUUGAGAACAAGUGCCAACACCUAACUACUGUUGGCUUGAUAGUAUCAGAAGAGGAAGGGACGGCUAACUCUGUGCCAGCAGCCGCGGUAAUACAGAGGUCCCAAGCGUUGUUCGGAUUCAUUGGGCGUAAAGGGUGCGUAGGUGGCGCCGUAAGUGGGGUGUGAAAUUCCGGAGCUUAACUCCGAAACUGCAUUCCAUACUGCGGUGCUUGAGGACUGGAGAGGAGACUGAAAUUUACGGUGUAGCAGUGAAAUGCGUAGAGAUCGUAAGGAAGACCAGUGGCGAAGGCGGGUCUCUGGACAGUUCCUGACACUGAGGCACGAAGGCCAGGGGAGCGAACGGGAUUAGAUACCCGCGUAGU
rnacentral:rRNA from 1 species